rnacentral:rRNA from 1 species
UGAGUGCGAGUUGCUACGGCAACGAAGUUGGUGACGUCAAGCUUCCAAGAAAAGCCCUAUACCCGUUAAGGCAUCAUGGCCUGUACCCGAAACCGACACAGGUGGGGUGGUAGGGAAUACCGAGGGGCGCGAGGUAACUCUCUCUAAGGAACUCGGCAAAAUGGCCCCGUAACUUCGGGAGAAGGGGUGCCACCGCAAGGUGGUCGCAGUGAAGAGGCCCAGGCGACUGUUUACCAAAAACACAGGUCUCCGCUAAGUCGCAAGACGAUGUAUGGGGGCUGACGCCUGCCCAGUGCCGGAAGGUUAAGGAAGCCGGUUAGCGUAAGCGAAGCUGGCGACUGAAGCCCCGGUGAACGGCGGCCGUAACUAUAACGGUCCUAAGGUAGCGAAAUUCCUUGUCGGGUAAGUUCCGACCCGCACGAAAGGCGUAACGAUCUGGGCGCUGUCUCGGAGAGAGGCUCGGCGAAAUAGAAUUGUCUGUGAAGAUGCGGACUACGUGCACCCGGACAGAAAGACCCUAUGAAGCUUUACUGUAGCUUGGUAUUGUGCUCGGGCUCGGAAUGCGCAGGAUAGGUGGGAGGCUAUGAACCAUUGCUUGUGGGUGAUGGUGAGCCACUGGUGAGAUACCACUCUUUCCGAGCUAGAGUUCUAACGGCCACCCGUUAUCCGGGGGCCGGACAGUAUCAGGUGGGCAGUUUGACUGGGGCGGUCGCCUCCUAAAAGGUAACGGAGGCGCGCAAAGGUUUGCUCAGGCUGGUUGGAAAUCAGCCGACGAGUGUAAAAGCAGAAGCAAGCUUGACUGUGAGACCUACAAGUCGAACAGGGAGGAAACUCGGCUUUAGUGAUCCGACGGUUCUGCGUGGAAGGGCCGUCGCUCAACGGAUAAAAGUUACUCUAAGGAUAACAGGCUGAUCUCCCCCAAGAGUUCACAUCGACGGGGAGGUUUGGCACCUCGAUGUCGGCUCAUCGCAACCUGGGGCUGAAGUCGGUCCCAAGGGUUGGGCUGUUCGCCCAUUAAAGCGGUACGCGAGCUGGGUUCAGAACGUCGUGAGACAGUUCGGUCCAUAUCCGGUGCAUGCGCAGGAAUAUUGAGAGGAUUUCUCCCUAGUACGAGAGGACCGGGAGGAACGCACCUCUGGUGUACCAGUUAUCGUGCCAACGGUAAACGCUGGGUAGCCAUGUGCGGAGAGGAUAACCGCUGAGAGCAUCUAAGUGGGAAGCCCACCUCAAGAUGAGUAUUCCCAUGGCGCUAGCCAGUAAGGUCACGGGAAGAACACCCGUUGAUAGGCUCUAUGUGGAAGCGCAGUAAUGCGUGGAGCAGAGGAGUACUAAUAGACCGAGGGCUUGAU